rnacentral:rRNA from 1 species
CCUACGGGUGGCAGCAGUGAGGAAUAUUGGUCAAUGGGCGCGAGCCUGAACCAGCCAAGUCGCGUGAGGGAAGACGGCCCUACGGGUUGUAAACCUCUUUUGCCGGGGAGCAACGGGCGCCACGUGUGGCUCCACUGAUAGUCCCCGUAGAAAAAGCAUCGGCUAACUCCGUGCCAGCAGCCGCGGUAAUACGGAGGAUGCGAGCGUUAUCCGGAUUUAUUGGGUUUAAAGGGUGCGUGGGGGGUGCGUAAGGUCAGUGUGCAAUUUGGGGGGCUCAACCCCUUCCCGCCAUUGAAACUGGCGCUCUUGAGUGGAAGAGAAGUAGGCGGAAUGCGUGGUGUAGCGGUGAAAUGCAUAGAUAUCACGCAGAACCCCGAUUGCGAAGGCAGCAUGCCGGCUUCCGACUGACGCUGAAGCACGAAAGCGUGGGGAUCGAACAGGAUUAGAUACCCGGGUAGUC